GACAGAGGGUGCAAACGUUGUUCGGAAUUACUGGGCGUAAAGCGCGUGUAGGCGGCUAAGCAAGUCGGAUGUGAAAGCCCUCGGCUCAACCGAGGAAGUGCACCCGAAACUGCGUAGCUGGAGUCCCGGAGAGGAUGGUGGAAUUCUCGGUGUAGAGGUGAAAUUCGUAGAUAUCGAGAGGAACACCGGUGGCGAAGGCGGCCAUCUGGACGGUGACUGACGCUGAGACGCGAAAGCGUGGGGAGCAAACAGG
rnacentral:rRNA from 1 species